AUAGGUCGAAAUGUUUUAAAAGUCCAAAACUCAAGCAAAUUGUCAAUUCAUUCAAACAAAUUUUCUUACGUCAUUCCGGCGGCUAUCGAUGUUAAUUGAAAUGGAACCGCAAACAUUGUUUAUCGUUAACAGCUGUUGCUUUUUUUGCAUUACACAAUUCAUAUCAUGAAACUGGAUUUCUCUCGAUCGAUCAAGUAGAGUGUGGUAUUGAAUUACAUUAGUGGAAUAAUUAAAUGGACAUCUGCAGAUGUGUGAAAUCGCGAUCAAUAUGAAUUUAUGAUUAUUGAGAGCGUCGACAUUGAAUAUAGUAGAAUUCGAUCAUAUGGAAUAGUGUGUGUGUGUGUGUCUGUUUCUCUCGCCCUUUUCAAACAAUCAUAAUUCAUUUUCGAGAUUUCACACUCACAUACAACGAGAGAGAGAAAGAGGGAGAGAGAGAGAGAGAGAGAGAGAGAGAGAGAGAGAGAGAGAGAAAGGUGUGCUCAGUGUGUGAUUUCGAAAACAAACGCAAAUGUUAACGCUUUUUUUUGCCAAAUGUGUAAUGUAAUCAAUUGUAUAAUCGGAGUUCAUGCUAUCAAUGAAUGAUUUAGACGUAACUUGCCAUGUCACUUUCCAAUCGACGCAAGCGAUUUAGAGCGAACAGACGUGCUGACCGCGUACGCAAAUCAUUUCGGUGUAUCGAGAAUAAAUUUAUUUUUCUUAUCAUGUUAAUAUGACGAAAAGCAAAGUCCCGAAAAGUCGCUGCCGGCUGGUGGUUGUGGCCCCAAGUCAUAGCAUCCAUUUGGAAUGUGAUGAUUUGUGCUAUUUGCUGAUGACAUGAUGAUAUUUCUCUUUCUUUUUGAAAUCGAAUCAAAUAAUGGUGGGUGAUGACACUUGACGGCGAUGCAAUUUUGUUUCUUAAAAUCGUUAAAGUGUAAUUCACGCAGGUGCCAGAUAUAUAAAUUGUAAUAGGUAGCAGCUAAACCGUCGAUAUUCAAUAGUAAGUUAAUAUUUCUUGAUACCGAAUUUAAUUGCAAAGCAAAAUAGCCAUUCCAAACAAGAAGGUUCGUAGUAAACAAAACGGCAUUGCAAACAAUAAAUAUUUAAAUGAACUAAUUUUAAAAAUGCAUUUCAAGUACUUUUCUAUGGCUUUGCCAAUGAAUGGGGUUUUUUUUUUUCAUCCAACACCGUUUCCCGAUUGUUUGUUUUGAUUACAAUGAAUCAUUCACACA